UUUGACCAAUGAACGGAGUGCAUACUCACUGACGUGCGUGAAUGAGCUCCGCUCAUUGGGCAAACAGCCAGGGAGGGGGCAGACUCUCC